AUUAAAGACCAUCAUUCUAAGGAGAAGACAAGGCCAAAGCCGAAACAAGCAUUCUUGAAAUAAACACUACAAACACUUGGAAGAUCAACAAGCAAAGACAACAAGGAAGUGCACUAACCAAAAGAGGAUCAACAAAGGGAGUUCUCUUAUUUCCUUUGCAACUUGGUUUAUUGUUAAUUACCUUGUUAAUUACGUUUUAG
rnacentral:lncRNA from 1 species